GGAGAUGUGUGAACUCAGCUUCUGAAUCUGCCAAUUCUUGAUGCAGUUGAGCUCUGGAGAUGUUUGCAUUGUCAACCUUCUUUCUGUAAACGUCCAGGCACUCCUGUUCGAUGUCCAAUCCCAUAUGAAAAGAUCAGCUACCAACUGGAGGGAACUCAAGUCUGGAGCUCGUGUUUCUCUGAAUUCUUAAUGAGGAGCUCAAAAAAUCAAAUAUCAUUUGUCCGCAAAGACUCAAUGAAGAGGAGGUUGUUUUGGAAGAUCUCGACUCAAGUGUAGUUAUGAUAUAGACUUGGACAGAGAGUAUGUUUUUCUUUGCAUGAUCGACCACCCAAGAAUGCUCAUGUUAUUUAAAUUUUGUUCCCUACAAGCUAACCCUUGUCCUCUAUCAAUUUAAAUUUUGUUUUUUAUGUUCAUAAUUGUCCUUUUAAUUUUGCAUUUGUCAAUCAUUUGACUCGUGCAUGUUAAAUUUUGUGAAC